rnacentral:rRNA from 1 species
CGAUAGCGUAUAUUAAAGUUGUUGCAGUUAAAAAGCUCGUAGUUGGAUUUGUGGUUCGUCCCGCCGGCUGGGUCAUUGACCUUUGCUGUGCUGGUCGUCCAUCCUUGGGUGGAAUCUGUGUGGCAUUAGGUUGUCGCGCAGGGGAUGCCCAUCGUUUACUGUGAAAAAAUUAGAGUGUUCAAAGCAGGCUUAUGCCGUUGAAUAUAUUAGCAUGGAAUAAUGAUAUAGGACCUUGGUACUAUUUUGUUGGUUUGCGCACUGAGGUAAUGAUUAAUAGGGACAGUUGGGGGUAUUCGUAUUCCAUUGUAAGAGGUGAAAUUCUUGGAUUUUUGGAAGACGAACUACUGCGAAAGCAUUUACCAAGGAUGUUUUCAUUAA